CAUUAGAUGGCUGAAAGCAAGCACUGGUCUCUUAAACCACAUUAUAGUAGAGUAGCAACUAUUUCUAAUGA
rnacentral:tRNA from 1 species